AGAAUCAACGCUGGCGGCGUGCCUAACACAUGCAAGUCGAACGAGAAAGGGGAGCAAUCCCUGAGUAAAGUGGCGACCGGGUGAGUAACACGUGACUAACCUACCCUCGAGUGUGGAAUAACAUCGGGAAACCGAUGCUAAUACCGCAUAACAUCGGCGCUUUUAAGAGAUGCCGAUCAAAGGAGCAAUCCGCUUGGAGGGAGGGGGUCGCGGCUGAUUAGCUAGGUUGGCGGGGUAACGGCCCACCAAGGCGAAGAUCGGGUA
rnacentral:rRNA from 1 species